rnacentral:rRNA from 1 species
GAUGAACGCUGACAGAAUGCUUAACACAUGCAAGUCUUUGGCGAAGCUGUGCUUGCACAGCCUAGCCAAGGCGGACGGGUGAGUAACGCGUAAGGAACUUGCCCUGCAGUCAGGGAUAACAGACGGAAACGACUGAUAAGACCUGGUAAAGUCAGGCGGACUCAUGUCCAGCCUGAUGAAAAGAGAUGCUGCAGGAGAGCCUUGCGUCCUAUUAGCUUGUUGGUGGGGUAACGGCCCACCAAGGCGAUGAUAGGUAGCCGGCCUGAGAGGGUGGACGGCCACAAGGGGACUGAGAUACGGCACUUACUCCUACGGGAGGCAGCAGUGGGGAAUAUUGGACAAUGGGGGCAACCCUGAUACAGCAAUUCUGUGUGCACGAUGAAGGUUUUCGGAUUGUAAAGUGCUUUCAGCAGGGAAGAAAAAAAUGACGGUACCUGCAGAAGAAGCGACGGCUAAAUACGUG